AUUGAACGCUGGCGGCAGGCCUAACACAUGCAAGUCGAACGGUAACAGGGAUCAGCUUGCUGAUUCGCUGACGAGUGGCGGACGGGUGAGUAAUGUCUGGGAAACUGCCUGAUGGAUGGGGAUAACUCCUGGAACCGGUAGCUAAUACCGCAUAACGUCGCAAGACCAAAGAGCGGGACCUUCGGGCCUCUUGCCAUCGGAUGUGCCCAGAUGGGAUUAGCUAGUAGGUGGGGUAACGGCUCACCUAGGCGACGAUCCCUAGCUGGUCUGAGAGGGUGACCAGCCACACUAGAACUGAGACACGGUCCAGACUCCUACGGGAGGCAGCAGUGGGGAAUAUUGCACAAUGGGCGAAAGCCUGAUGGAGCAAUGCCGCGUGUAUGAAGAAGGCCUUCGGGUUGUAAAGUACUGUCAGCAGGGAGGAAGAGAGUAAAGUGAAAACCUUUACUCAUUGACGUUACCCGCAGAAGAAGCACCGGCUAACUACGUG
rnacentral:rRNA from 1 species